AAGUUUCUGUAGAAAUUUACUUAAAGACACUAGUGUAAAUUAUACUUUGUUUUAUUCAGCACAGAAAGCAGAAUGGUGAUUUCACGAAUAGUAAAGAAACCUGCUUUUAGAAUGUAGAUAAGAAUCCUCUAUUCUUUGGCAUACACAAUUGUGGGUAUCAUUCACAUUCCACACAUAAAUAAGCACAGCUCAUUAACAUUUAAUUAAAUAUGCUUUUGAAUGCCUUGGAAAUAUGCAUAUCAUACUUACCAUGUAAGUUUGGAGCUUACUUUUUAACAGACAUUUAAAAGAAAAUCAUUU
rnacentral:lncRNA from 1 species